rnacentral:rRNA from 1 species
CAUUGAUGACAUCCUACAACUGUCAUCCGCCCGGGUACUACGAGCAUCAGCUUAAAACCCAAAGGACUUGGCGGUGCUUUAGACCCACCUAGAGGAGCCUGUUCUAGAACCGAUAACCCCCGUUCAACCUCACCCUUCCUUGUUUUCCCCGCCUAUAUACCACCGUCGUCAGCUUACCCUGUGAAGGUUAAAACAGUAAGCAAAAUUGGCAUAGCCCAAAACGUCAGGUCGAGGUGUAGCGUAUGGAAGGGGAAGAAAUGGGCUACAUUCCCUAAUUCAGCGCAUACGGACGAUACACUGAAAUACGUAUCCGAAGGAGGAUUUAGCAGUAAGCAGAAAAUAGAGUGUUCCGCUGAAACCGGCCCUGAAGCGCGC